CUUUGUGGGGCGCGGUGUUAACGCCAUUGCAAGAUGGCGCCGGCUUCCUGGUCACGCCGAUACUACAAGACUGAUAAACAGGGUGAACUGCGCAGGUGUAGGGGCUUUUCCUGUCUCAUUAAGUAUGCAUAUGAAAGAUCUUAGCUUGGCCUAUCAGUAGUAACCCUCACGCGCUUUUAACCUAUCCCCAUCACUUCCCCCCUUCCUUAGAGUAUAUAAGUGUGUGAGAGCUUGUGCUCAGGGUCUUCCGCAUCAUGUAAGUCUAAAGGGAACCCCAUUAAAGCACUGUCAAAAGAACUCCUGUUGCCGCGUCUUCCUUGCUGGCGAGGCGGGCGCGACAAGUGGUGCCGAAACCCGGGACUCGAAACAACUUUGAGGCACCAGCGGAAGACGACCUCAGAAGAGGUAGAGUUCAGAACUGACGUGUGGGACGGCCAAAACUCCCCUGCUUCCAUAAGCUCAGAGCGAGAGCCGCCAGAGCCAGAGCGAGAGCCGCCAGAGCCAGAGCGAGAGCCGCCAGAGCGAGAGCCGCCAGAGCGAGAGCCGCCAGAGCGAGAGCCGCCAGAGCGAGAGCCGCCAGAGCGAGAGCCGCCAGAAGAAAAGGGAGAGAAAGAAAGGAGGAGAAAAGGGAGAGAAAGAAAGGAGGAGAAAGGGGAGAGAAAGAAAGGAGGAGAAAAGGGAGAGAAGGGAGAAAAGACGCAGAGGACAGAGGAGAUGGCCUUUUUUUCGGUCAGAAUUUAUCUGAGACACCUGCUACUUCACUGCUUAAUUGUACAUCAUCCACUUGUAACUGUACGUUGUGUUAGAAUGCCUCUUCGCAUCCUGUUGCUGUUGCUCGUUUACCCAGACAUUAUUCCUGUUCCUGUAGACGCUCCUAAUUCCUUAACAUUGUUCAAGACUCGCAAGAACUUUAAAAUCACGGCUGCAAUUGUUGCAGCUAUCGCUACGGCUGCCGCAGCGUCGGCUGUAGCUUUGAGCACAACCCUGCAGACCGCAUAUGCGCUUAAUAACCUGCCAGCCGGC
rnacentral:lncRNA from 1 species